UUUUGAGAGUUUGAUCCUGGCUCAGGAUGAACGCUGGCGGCGUGCCUAAUACAUGCAAGUCGAACGAAUGAGGUAGCAAUACCGAUUUAGUGGCGAACGGGUGAGUAACACGUAGGCAACCUGCCUCUACGAAGGGGAUAACCGAGGGAAACUUUGGCUAAUACCGUAUAUGUUUCUUCUAGGGCAUCUUAGAAGAAGAAAAGGAGCGAUCCGCGUAGAGAUGGGCCUGCGGUGUAUUAGUUAGUAGGUGAGGUAACGGCUCACCUAGACGAUGAUACAUAGCCGACCUGAGAGGGUGAUCGGCCACAUUGGGACUGAGACACGGCCCAAACUCCUACGGGAGGCAGCAGUAAGGAAUUUUCGGCAAUGGGCGAAAGCCUGACCGAGCAACGCCGCGUGAGUGAUGAAGGUCUUCGGAUUGUAAAGCUCUGUUAUAAGGGAAGAAAAGGUAGGUUUACCUACGUAUUGACGGUACCUUAUUAGAAAGCCAUGGCUAACUACGUGCCAGCAGCCGCGGUAAUACGUAGAUGGCAAGCGUUAUCCGGAAUUAUUGGGCGUAAAGAGGGAGCAGGCGGUGGAAUAAGUCUUCGGUUUAAUAUUGUGGCUCAACCAUAAUUCGCUGAAGAAACUGUUCUACUAGAGUCAAGGAGAGGUUAGUGGAACUCCAAGUGUAGCGGUGGAAUGCGUAGAUAUUUGGAAGAACACCAGUGGCGAAGGCGGCUAACUGGCCUUGUACUGACGCUCAGUCCCGAAAGCGUGGGGAGCAAAUAGGAUUAGAUACCCUAGUAGUCCACGCUGUAAACGAUGAGUAUUAAGUGUUGGAGAAAUUCAGUGCUGAAGUUAACAUA
rnacentral:rRNA from 1 species